rfam:Pteropus alecto contig83900, whole genome shotgun sequence.
UUCUACGGCCAUGCCACCCUGAACAAGCCUGAUGUCUGAACUCGGAAGCUAAGCAGGGUCAGGCCUGGUUAGUACUUGGAUGGCAGACCACCUAGGAAGACCAGGUGCUGUAGGCA